rnacentral:lncRNA from 1 species
GAGUGCAACAAUGGAUGAGUUACGUCGCACGGCUGAACCGAAAAAAGGUUAAAUUUGACGCACCGACGAACGAAUCGUUCGUUGCAAUGUGAGAUGGCGCGGACACAUGGUUAUAAGAGAACAGAAGAGGACCCAUGUAUUUGAUAAUCCGUCGUAACCGUUGGACGGACGCAAUGUCACAUGCCGCGAGGAGAUCUUCGUGGAGUGGUGAACUAUGUUCGAAUUACAUUACUUCGCAAAGGAUGUUAGAAACUCCCAUCAACCGGGAGAAGGAACUGUUUCGUACAACCCGCAGCUUCAUAGUUACCUCGAAUCUCAGAUACUAUUUCCUUGCAUUUAAUAUCUCAGAGGGUAUAAAAAUACUCCUCAACGUCGAUGUCAACAAUUGUUU